AACGGACGCUGGCGGCAUGCCUAACACAUGCAAGUCGAACGAUGCCUUCGGGCAUAGUGGCGCACGGGUGCGUAACGCGUGGGAAUCUGCCUUUCGGUUCGGAAUAACUCAGGGAAACUUGAGCUAAUACCGGAUAACGUCGCAAGACCAAAGAUUUAUCACCGAAAGAUGAGCCCGCGUAGGAUUAGCUAGUUGGUGAGGUAAAGGCUCACCAAGGCGACGAUCCUUAGCUGGUCUGAGAGGAUGAUCAGCCACACUGGGACUGAGACACGGCCCAGACUCCUACGGGAGGCAGCAGUGGGGAAUAUUGGACAAUGGGCGAAAGCCUGAUCCAGCAAUGCCGCGUGAGUGAUGAAGGCCUUAGGGUUGUAAAGCUCUUCUACCCGGGAAGAUAAUGACGGUACCGGGAGAAUAAGCCCCGGCUAACUCCGUG
rnacentral:rRNA from 1 species